CGCGAAUUCGCCCUUCGGGGUGCACCAGGCGCGAAAACUCUACAAUGCAGGCAACUGCGAUAGGGGGACAUCGAGUGGCAUCCACCUUGGGUGCCUGUCCAACCGUCUAAAAAACGGUUGUUAGCAAGGGCCGGGUAAGACCGGUGCCAGCCGCCGCGGUAAUACCGGCGGCUCGAGUGGUGGCCGAUAUUAUUGAGUCUAAAGGGUCCGUAGCCGGCUUUGCAAGUCCCCUGGGAAAUCCAGCGGCUUAACCGUUGGGCUUUCAUGGGAUACUACAUUGCUUGGGACUGGGAGAGGUAGGAGGUACUCGGGGGGUAGGGGUGAAAUCCUGUAAUCCUCCGGGGACCACCGGUGGCGAAGGCGUCCUACCAGAACAGGUCCGACGGUGAGGGACGAAAGCUAGGGGCACGAACCGGAUUAGAUACCCGGGUAGUCCUAGCCGUAAACGAUGCCCGCUAGGUGUCACGACGGUCGUGAAUCGUCGUGGUGCCGUAGGGAAGCCGCGAAGCGGGCCACUUGGGAAGUACGGCCGCAAGGCUGAAACUUAAAGGAAUUGGCGGGGGAGCAC
rnacentral:rRNA from 1 species